rnacentral:rRNA from 1 species
UACGGGGGGGGCAAGCGUUGUUCGGAAUUACUGGGCGUAAAGGGCGCGUAGGCGGCCUUCUAAGUCGGAUGUGAAAUCCCUCGGCUCAACCGAGGACGUGCACCCGAAACUGGCGGGCUCGAGUAUGGAAGAGGGUCGCGGAAUUCCCGGUGUAGAGGUGAAAUUCGUAGAUAUCGGGAGGAACACCAGUGGCGAAGGCGGCGACCUGGGCCAAUACUGACGCUGAGGUGCGAAAGCGUGGGGAGCAAACAGG